rnacentral:rRNA from 1 species
GACAGAGGGUGCAAACGUUGUUCGGAAUUACUGGGCGUAAAGCGCGUGUAGGCGGUCUAGCAAGUCGGAUGUGAAAGCCCUUGGCUCAACUGAGGAAGUGCAUUCGAAACUGCAAGACUUGAGUCCCGGAGAGGAUGGUGGAAUUCUCGGUGUAGAGGUGAAAUUCGUAGAUAUCGAGAGGAACACCGGUGGCGAAGGCGGCCAUCUGGACGGUGACUGACGCUGAGACGCGAAAGCAU